rnacentral:rRNA from 1 species
GAGUUUGAUCGGGCUCAGGAUGAACGCUGGCGGCGUGCCUAAUACAUGCAAGUCGAGCGAACGAGACGAGGAGCUUGCUCCUCUGACGUUAGCGGCGGACGGGUGAGUAACACGUGGAUAACCUACCUAUAAGACUGGGAUAACUUCGGGAAACCGGAGCUAAUACCGGAUAAUAUAUUGAACCGCAUGGUUCAAUAGUGAAAGACGGUUUUGCUGUCACUUAUAGAUGGAUCCGCGCCGCAUUAGCUAGUUGGUAAAGUAACGGCUUACCAAGGCAACGAUGCGUAGCCGACCUGAGAGGGUGAUCGGCCACACUGGAACUGAGACACGGUCCAGACUCCUACGGGAGGCAGCAGUAGGGAAUCUUCCGCAAUGGGCGAAAGCCUGACGGAGCAACCCCGCGUGAGUGAUGAAGGUCUUCGGAUCGUAAAACUCUGUUAUUAGGGAAGAACAAAUGUGUAAGUAACUAUGCACGUCUUGACGGUACCUAAUCAGAAAGCCACGGCUAACUACGUGCCAGCAG